UACGGGGGGGGCAAGCGUUGUUCGGAAUUAUUGGGCGUAAAGAGCUCGUAGGCGGUGUGUCGCGUCGGCCGUGAAAACCUGCAGCUUAACUGUGGGCGUGCGGUCGAUACGGGCAUCACUGGAGUUCGGCAGGGGAGACUGGAAUUCCUGGUGUAGCGGUGAAAUGCGCAGAUAUCAGGAGGAACACCGGUGGCGAAGGCGGGUCUCUGGGCCGAUACUGACGCUGAGGAGCGAAAGCGUGGGGAGCGAACAGG
rnacentral:rRNA from 1 species